GCCAAGUUAGCACAAUGAUAGUGCAAUUGUCCUGUAAACAAUAGGUUGGGAGUUUGAGUCUCUCACUUGGCA
rnacentral:tRNA from 1 species